AUAAAACAACAUCUUAAGAGUUUAAAUUUUUUCACAAAAGUUGCGCAACGGCCGUUGCUAUGGCAACAAUAAUGUUUGAUAAUGGUGGAUAUUUUGGCUGUAUUGAGUCACCUUAAGUCUACAAAGAGAAAUCAUUUAAUGAAAUAAUAUUUGGCGAUCGAUUAUCGAUGUCAUUUACGAGUUAAAUUAUUUUAAAGUCAAAAUACCAGCCAUGUAUAGAAACAAGAAAAAUGUUUUCUAUUUUUUAAAUAGAAAACAUUUUGAAACAAAUAUCACCGAACACAUUUCGUUAGUCGACAGGGAACAUUUAUACAAAUCAGGCCACAGGAAGCCCAGGCUCUGCUUCCAGUUGCACCAGCUAGAAUUUCAAAUCAUUCGGCCAAUGAGAACCUUGCAACCAAGGUUUGGCGGAAAUUGACGCCCAAUAGUUACGAAGGUCGUAAAAAGUUUUUAUGCCAUUUUCCCCAAUAAAGUAUUAUGUAUGUAUGUAUGUAUGCAUUUCAGUUUCGUCAAACGGAUUGUAGCGUUAAUCAAGUUUUCAGUUCAUAAAAUUAUCAUUCCGGACACUCCUUAUUUGAAGGAAGGUUAGGAAUGGCGCGGGCAAAGGCUGGAUGCGGGCUACUGCAAUCAGAGCCUGGGGCCAAUUCCUAUAUGAUCAGCGUAGAAAAUUGUUGAAGGAAAGUUGAGAUGGUUAGAAAAUAAUAUUAGAAUUGUUGUAAAAAAGAUAAAUAGUCCAGGCUAUGCAAGUAUACUAUGUAAUAUAUAUAAUAAGUAUAAGUGCAUGUAAUAUAUAACUUGAUGUAAUCGGUAACUGAAAGCGAACUGAUUAAUGUAUGUAUGUGUUGUCAGCAUCGAAUCAGAACACGAGGACAAACUAUGACCAUACAGUGAAAAGCCGGUGCCAUUGCCAGGUGAGGAGGAUUACUCUCAUAUAUACAUAUAAAAGGAAUGGAAAGGCCUAUUUGUACUACACAAAUAUCGCAUGCGACCUGCUUACAACUUGAGUUGUACUGUAUAAAUCAUGCCAACAACUCACCUAUGGGACAACGUUGUAAGCAGGUUGCGUGCGAUAGUUUUCGCAAAAAUAUUUACAAGUAGGCCUAUUGAAUAAUAGAAGAGUAGAAUAACAUGCAGGCUAGAAAGUGCUGAACUUUAAUGACGGGGCUCCAUUCGCCCCAAUAAUUGCAGUGUUAACGUUCAGUCGUAUAAAAAUGAC